rnacentral:rRNA from 1 species
UACGUAGGUGGCAAGCGUUGUCCGGAUUUAUUGGGCGUAAAGAGCGUGUAGGCGGCCAUACAGGUCAGCUGUGAAAACUCGAGGCUCAACCUCGAGACGUCGGUUGAAACCGUCUGGCUAGAGUCCGGAAGAGGAGAGUGGAAUUCCCGGUGUAGCGGUGAAAUGCGCAGAUAUCGGGAAGAACACCCGUGGCGAAGGCGGCUCUCUGGGACGGUACUGACGCUGAGACGCGAAAGCGUGGGGAGCGAACGGG